GAAAAGAGAUACAGGGAGUAGUUCUCUUGCGAGCAACCCGCUGCCCACACUGCUCACAUCCUCAGCCUAAAAAUGCUUCACUUCUUCAGAAAAUGGCCAAAAAUAAAUCAGCCUGGGGCACUGGGCUGUGAUGAGCGAUGCAGCCCACAGCAGCGAGAUGGAGAAAUUCCUCCUAUUCUUCACUUAGGAGUGAGAUUAUGGGUGAAUCGAUAACCCAGGGUGGAAAUAGGUCCAGAUAAAAGUGGUGGAAUGUGCAACAGAUUGCAUUCUCUCUUGCAGCCCUCCAGCCCAGCCCUACGAGGGGACGCCCCGUGCCAGCGUGGCAUCCUGCAUCGCUCAGCAGGGCUCUCAGGGACCGGCCAGGACCAGGACUUUGGAGCAAAUGCCAUUAUUUCCAUGCCAUCAGAAGGAGGCUGUCAAGCUCUAUGGCAUUUCAGGCUGUUGCAACAGGCUCUGCCCGGUGGACCAGCUGUGACCGCAGGCAGCAGAGGUUUAACAUCUAACUUCACUUUCAAGCCACGUGUUGCCUUCUGAAAUGUCCUUGUCUCCUUGGAGACCUGCAUGUGCUCUGCAGGGACCUGAUGGCCAAUCUGCAGGUUUCUCUAUAUCCCACUUCUCCUUAUUGUACCAUAUCCCACAGACACUGCUUCUCCAUCCAUCCCCCCACCUGCAUUAACCUCCCCUCUCCUUUUCCUCAGCAGCAGAGAUGAACCCCAUUACCCAUGGCAUCUCCCAUGCUUCCACCUCACCUGCCUCACAGGCUGAGGUGACCUUCUUUUUCCACAUUAGUCUGGCAUCUUCUAAGCUGCCAUGAGACGGUGCUGAUGAAGGAUUUCUGCUUUCCAGGAGCAAGCAUGGCCUGUAGCAAGGCUGCUAUUUGUGCUCCUCAUCCCUCCUUUCUACAAGAAAACUAACCAAAAAGAAGCAAGCAAGCAAUUCAUUUUUCAUCUGCAUCAGCCCCACAAACACCAGGGCCACCUCUCAGCUGCAGGAGCCAGGUAAUGGAGUAAUAGGACCUGCUGGAGGCAAGUUCAUAAACUGCAGGAUGUGUAACGGAUCACCUCCAGGCUCUGCCAUUGACUCACCCCAUACCUUUGCAUCGAGCAUUUCUCUGCUUCCUGGAUCUCCCAUGAUUGUACGUGCAUUGAAGGAUGACCACGGAUAUUGCAGAUCUCCAGGAGAACAGACCACCUCAUCCUGACAAACAAAUGCAUGUUUCUCUGUAAUUUUCCAACAGGAUUUGCAGUGGGUGGGCACAGACUGGAGAGCUUGGCAGAAUUUUCAGUAGGGCUGUUUGCUGCAGAAAACACUUAUUUUUAUCCUUGUAUGGAAUAAUUGUCUCCUGUGCUGAAAUCUGUGAUUUGUGCAGCCACGCUCCCUCGCUCUUCAAGCUCUGCACCAACACUCUUUGUACACCACAAAGCAAGACAUCAACGCUGGUUUAGCCAUCCUCUUCUUCAUCUCUAAAUCCCUUUUUGUAAACCUACCCCUGGCUCUUCUCAGCCAGAAUAGCACGUCUUGGAGGGCAGGUCCUACUUUGGCUGGUUGGUUGGUUGGUAACUUGUUCCCACACUGGGCAGCAACUCCCAGAGCAGAUCACCUAUCUCUGUACCUCCCUGUCCAAAAGAAGAGCUUACCUUGACAUCCCCACCCCUCUGACAUGUCCUCAGUGCCCUCUGACGUGUCCCUGAGGCACAGGAGAGGAUGGAUGGAAUGUUUUCCUCCUCACACUGCCCAGUCUCGGUCUGAUGCUGUUGUGAGUCACUGCAGGGUGGUGCAGGUGAAGGAGGGGAGGAUGUCCAGCUUCACCAGGAGCAGUGAUGAUGGUGCAAAUGCCAGGGACAGAAGAUCUGUCUGAAGAUGGAUUCCUAUUAAUUAAGCUCCUUCGGGUGUCAGGGGCACAACACUACCACCUAGAGUUGCAGGGACCGUGGACCAGAGGUGUCACCCCACGAGGAUGUUGCUUGGCCUUGCUCCACCUGAACUCCUUCAGAUGGCCCAGAGCUCCUCAUGGGAGAGGAAUGACAUCAACCAUAGCACUUGGCAUCACUGGAGAGGUGUGCCACUAACCACAACCCUUGGCUGCCUUUACAGACCUGUCCUGGGACACACUAAAGAAUACCUCUUGCUUGCUCCAAAGCCAAUAUUUCUUUCAGGUUCUCUCUUCUGGCUAAGACCAGUAACGGAGUGAGGAGUGAGGUGGAUUUCCACCCUCAUUUCCAGCUUUAACAGGAUAAAUUUGCAGGUCAAGAAGAGCUGGAGGAACCACCCAAGAGCUGUCGGUCUCAGGGUCUCUGUUUGGAUCUGCCCUGACAAGAAAUGAAUUUUCUCUGCUUGCUCAGAGCAGAGGCCAAGCAGGGAGUGAGGCCAGAACAACAAGGGGUCAUGCUGGAGUUUCUUUUUUUCCUUCACUUAACUCCGAAAUAAAAAUAUAGCUCAAG